AAGGUGGGGGGCCGUGGGUAGGCCAGAGGAAGGCCUAACCUUCCCCUAGGAGCCAGGCCAGAGAGGGCAUGGGCUGGGCCAGUAACCCCAUGCAGAGGGAAAUGGUGCUGGGCAGAUGUGUCAGUGAUUCUCAGAGGGACAGGGCAGGCUCUGAGGGAAGCCCAGCCCACACCCAAUGCCCCAGUCUCGGGAUCACAUGUGCUUGUCCAGAACUUGGAAUUCUCCUUGCCCCUUCCCUUCUGGCCCCAGGAUGUCUUGGAAUCCAAACAACUGCAGCAGACAUUCGCCAAACGUGUUACAGAGACCUGGGCAUAUUCAAGGCUCUGUGAUGGCCACCAAGGAGACGCAGGGUACAAAGAUGAAUGUACAAAGUCAUCCCCGGCCUCGAGGAGCUUCUGCUCACUUGGUCCAUGUUCUUUUACCAGCAAACAUUCCCUGAAGCACCUUAGGUGUUAGGCCCUGUGCUGGGCACUGCAGGGGUGUGGAUUCUGCCAUUCCACCCCCACCAAGGCGACUUCUGGACAGACUUGCAUCAGGAGAUGGGGCCCUGACCCACAGACAGCACAAUCAUGGACAAGUUGCUUCACCUCUCCAAGUCUCAGUUCUUCCAUCUGUAAAAUGGCUAUAACCCCGACCUGACAGGCUUGACAGGAGGAUUUAAGGAAAUCAUCUAUUUAAAAUGCCCAACACGAGGUCAGACAAACAAUCAAUGUUUCUUUAUAAAUUUAUUUAUUUUU